CCUAAGAAUUCCUCUUCUCUUGCUGGGAGUGAAUGUCCAGCUGGCCAUUACUGCCCCCCUGGUACAGCUUCAGCGACUCAAUACCCAUGCCCCAGGGGGACUUACAACCCACAGAUCGGCAGCAGUCAUGUUUCUCACUGUAUCCCUUGUGAUCCAGGUCAUUACUGUGCAUUAGCAGGACAGUCACGUGUCACAGGACCUUGUUCAGCUGGAUAUUACUGCAGUGCAGGGAUUGCCACCCCAACACCUACCAGUGGCCUGAGGGGGAACAUAUGCCCGGUGGGAAAUUACUGCCCUAAAGGAUCUGCUCUUCCACAUCCGUGCCCUCUUGGUUAUUAUAGCAAUUCUACCCGGAAUACUGAGAUGGGAGACUGCCUCCUCUGUGACGCAGGGUAUUUCUGCAAUGGAACUGGACUCAUAUCUCCUGCUGGUGUCUGUGAAGCUGGGUUCUAUUGCACAAGAGGAGCUGUUUCUCCUAGACCUUCCAAAACCACAAGCAGUGGCGGGCCAUGUCCCCCAGGACACUACUGCACAGUGGGGAGCAGCAGAGCACAGCCAUGCCCUGCAGGGAGCUACAGCCCAUUCUGGGACAUGGUGCAGUGUUUGGAGUGCCCAGAAGGCUUUUACUGUAAGGCUGGUUCCAGUAA